rnacentral:rRNA from 2 species
AAACCAGGAUUAGAUACCCUAUUAUAAAAAUUUAAAUUAAUUUACUAAAAAAUUAAUAGUUAUGUUCUUUAAAUUUAAAAAAUUUGGCGGUAUUUUAGUCUUAUUAGAGGAACCUGUUUAUUAAUUGAUAAUCCACGAUUAAUUUUACUUAUUUAAUUAAUUCAUAUAUCGCUGUCAUGAAUAUAUUAAAAAAUUUAUUUUCUUUAUUUAUUAUUAUAAUUUAUGUUAAGUCAAGAUGUGGUUUAUAAAUAAGAAUAUAAUGGGUUACAUUAAAUUUUAUUUUUGGAUUUUAAAUGAAAAUUAAAAUGAAAUUGGAUUUAAUAGUAAAUUUAUUUAUU